rnacentral:rRNA from 1 species
UACGAAGGGGGCUAGCGUUGCUCGGACUUACUGGGCGUAAAGCGUCCGUAGGCGGCUUUCUAAGUCGGUGGUGAAAUCCUGGAGCUCAACUCCAGAACUGCCUUCGAUACUGGAGAGCUCGAGUCCGGGAGAGGUGAGUGGAACUGCGAGUGUAGAGGUGAAAUUCGUAGAUAUUCGCAAGAACACCAGUGGCGAAGGCGGCUCACUGGCCCGGUACUGACGCUGAGGGGCGAAAGCGUGGGGAGCAAACAGG